rnacentral:lncRNA from 1 species
GGAAGCCCGGCGAGUCGCUGGGGGAAGCAGAGCAGACACCCGGCUCGGCCCGAGCGCAGGGCGCGGAUCCCACGAGUCGGAGCCGGCGGAUCCGAGCCGGUACAUCGGAGCCAGAGCUUGGAGAAACCGGGCCCUCCAUGCUCCCAGGACGCAAUCUCUUUCCCCUGAAAGAAAGGGUCACCCACCUCCUAGAGAGCAAAACAGCUACGUUUUCGCUUCCGAAAUGGGCCCUUCCUUCUGGCCGCAGGUCUAGAGGUCCCCACCCUGUGCCUGUCUCCCUGCCUUGGAAGUGACAGCUGGGGAGCCUGAGGCCUGCAAGACCACUCAGGGGGCUGGAUCGACAGCCCCAGCCCUCCAGUGUGCCUGCCUGGCAGGAGUUCUCAGCAGAAAGCCUGGGG